rnacentral:lncRNA from 1 species
AGGUUCAGCUAUUGGUGUCGGUUCUUCUACCUGUUGAACUUCAUCAAGUUCAACCUUAAAGGCAACGGUUCCUUCACCAAGGAACUCCUUUUCUAAAAAGAUUGCCUUAAGGCUGACAAACAUCUUUUGUUCAUCAGCAUGGUAGAAAAAAUAUCUUUUGGUCUCUUUGGGGUACCCUAUGAAUGUGCAUUUGUCAGACCUAGGUCC